UGGGCGUAAGCGUGCGCAGGCGGUUUGUUAAGACCGAUGUGAAAUCCCCGGGCUCAACCUGGGAACUGCAUUGGUGACUGGCAAGCUAGAGUAUGGCAGAGGGGGGUAGAAUUCCACGUGUAGCAGUGAAAUGCGUAGAGAUGUGGAGGAAUACCGAUGGCGAAGGCAGCCCCCUGGGCCAAUACUGACGCUCAUGCACGAAAGCGUGGGGAGCAAACAGGAUUAGA
rnacentral:rRNA from 1 species